rnacentral:rRNA from 1 species
AUUGAACGCUGGCGGUAGGCUUAACACAUGCAAGUCGAGCGGUAACAUUUCCAGCUUGCUGGAAGAUGACGAGCGGCGGACGGGUGAGUAACGCGUAGGAAUCUACCGAGUAGUGGGGGACAACCAGUGGAAACGCUGGCUAAUACCGCAUACGCCCUACGGGGGAAAGCAGGGGAUCUUCGGACCUUGCGCUAUUCGAUGAGCCUAAGUCGGAUUAGCUUGUUGGUGAGGUAAAGGCUCACCAAGGCAACGAUCCGUAGCUGGUCUGAGAGGACGAUCAGCCACACUGGGACUGAGACACGGCCCAG